rnacentral:lncRNA from 1 species
CAUGAUACACACAAUGUCAACGUCUCAUCGCCUGUUUUUUUGGACUGAAUAUUGAUUGGCCAUAUCGGGCUCUUGAGCACUCCUUCUGAACCCCUAAAAUAUCUUUAAGCUACUGCGAAUUCGAACCAAGUCAAGACUAAAUUGCUGGCCUAAACUCGAUUGAUUUUCAAACGGAACUUGAAUGACCACAGAGCUCAUCAGACCACAGAAAUGGUAAUAGAGAAUUCUUUAGAUAAUCCUUAUCAAAUACGACUGAUGUACAAUGCUCCCUCCUUUAUAAGAAGAGGAAGCGGAAAAAAAAAAGAAGAGGAUGACAAAGUAAUCCAGGUAUAAAGUUCAUUGUUGACAAGACCCCAUCCCGCUUUCCUGCCGAUAGUGUUGUACUUGUGGAUGCCUCACACCCACUGAUAAAACUCAAAUGGUUCCAUUUGAUGGUUUUACGUAUUGCUGCAUGUGGAGGCCAAUUGUGUAUUUGUCCGCCUUGGCACCGUCUUAGGCUAGGGCUGUGAUAGUGCUUGGAGGGGGGUCUCCCCAGGAUUCGAAUCCUGGUCCUUUGGGAUAAGGGUCUUGGGGUUGAAGUCCUGGUACCACUUGGGCUACUAGGACUUCAAUCCCAAGACCCUUACUCCAAAGGACCAGGGUUCGAAUCCUGGGGAGGCCCCCCUCCAAGCACUACCACGACCCUAGCCUAAAACGGUGCCGAGACGGACAAAUACACAAUUGGCCUCCACACUGCACUCCCUUCAAGAGGGUAGUUUCUGGCUCCAACUCUACAAGCCUCCUUCAAGGCAAGAAUCUCCUACACAGUGCUUUCUAUGCUCCACAAGCUUCAUUGUCUUUUACGAUCUACAUGCAACACGUACUAAACCUGCUUUUACUUCUUUAUUCUGCGAGCAAACGUAGGAAGAGAAACUUGCAAACAUUCACUAAAUACAAUGAAAAACAUAAGACAGGUUUAAAUUGAGAGACCAUCAGUAGUCUGGUGGAAUGGUUUUACAUAUUUACAGUCCCAAGGAUUGAACAGACAGGUAAAGAGAUUAAGAAAGAUGCUUUGAUUCAAGAAUAUCUGCAAGCAAAAUCAGAUAUCUGAAGGAGUAUUAAUGAAACUUUACUAAUAAUGGAUGGUUAAAAGGCAAGUAAUAAAUGUGCCUCUUCCUAUUAGAGGCUCCAAACGUUUGUGCUGGCAGAGCCAAUCCUAAUAUUCGGUUUGUUGACUUAAUAUUCAGUUUGUGCUGGCUGUGCCGCUAGGAAUGCUACAAGAUGACAUCAACUGUUCUGAUAUCUUAAGAUGCAAUCCGGAGUAAUUUUCAACCUUUUUUCUCAUGUGUAAUUAUUGAUACAAGUGUGCCAUAUGAAAAGCAACGUUAGUGCAAGAGUCAUGAAAUAACACAUAUGAAGUGUUUGAUGUAAUACAAGCUAGUUAGCUUAGGAUCAGUAGUACUCUGGCUAGAAUUCUCAUGAAAUAACUGAUGCAUAAAAUCUUGCAAAAAGCAUUAGGCUGCAGCCUGUAGUGUUGCAAAGCAAAAAUGGAUUAUCAGAUUAUCUUUACUUGGUCCGUUGGCCAAGAUAGGUCGUAUACCCAAGCCAAGGUAGUACGCUGGCGUAAGCUCACAAUCACAUAAGAAGAAAACUAGUGAUCGAUGCUAAGCACAUUCCUAAAAAAUGCCUACAAUCUGUAUCUUUGAAACAUCUUAUUCUUCUAAAAGAUUUCAAAUAGUCGGGGAAUAUGCUGUAUAUCAGGUUCUAAUGUAUUACUUCUAGUUUUCACCCCAGCCCCAUAGAAUGCAAGAAACACUGAAUCAAACAAUCGAUUGUUGGAAAAAUUGUUGCAGCUACUAAUAGAUCUUAAAGUCAUUUCUACUCAUUUAAUUUCCUAUUUGCAGUAACAAAAAUGUAUAUACCUCUACUUCUGUGGCAAUAGAUACAUACUAAUCUUCAAUCUUUAGGGAUCUUGAUUUUGCAAAAGGGGAGAACUUUCAGCAUUGAAUACUGUGCUUCCUCGCAAUUGGUCCUCAACAACCUUCCCUUCUCUUGCUUUUCCCCACAUCACAGAGUAAAACCCAAUGACAAUAAGAAUUGACCCCACCAAACUGCAAAAUUUAGAAUAGUAAUGUAAAAAAUAUGCAUCUGUAAAGAAGGGGAAAAAGCAACACAAAGACAUAAGCAACUAGCACAGUUUUGAAAUUCAUUCAAAAGGCCUGCAUAAAAGUUAUGUGAUGUUAAUUUAUCUUGCAUACCUCCCAACAUAAAAAGCAUCUUUUGAAAUGAUAAUAUUAAAGGCAGCUGCAAUGACUAUGCCCAGGGGAUGAAACAUAGUAACAAAAAGGGGUCCCUUUUUGUGAACACACCAUGUAGACAAACUGACUUGUAGAGCAGAACCAAAAAUUCCCUGAAAAGACAUAACAGGAGGAAGGUAACCACCAAGUUAUAUGAAAUGUCGUUGCAGGAUACCAUUCCCGAUAAGCAACCAUAGCACUCAAACUCAGCACGUAAUAAAGCACACGAAGUUUGUUCCCCUAAGGAAUACGUAUGAUAUCUUGUUUCGGACUAAAUAGUCAAAUUUAGCACCAUUCAUAAUAAGUGCCAAAGCAGUCACAGAAAGCAACUGAAGAGGACAGAUGAUAAUUGCCAUGAUCUAGGUAAUUAAGAAGACAUGUUAGCUUGUGCUAAAAUGAACAAUUCCACAAGAAUGAGUGAGAAGAAGCAAGAUUCUCCAACUUAUGGAAAGAGAAGCUUUAUUCACUUACUGAGUAUAAAAUAGUAAGCAGUCUCAUAGUAGGUUGUAAUGUCCAAGCACUUAGUUUGUCACCUGAAACGAGAGAAAUCCCUGCAGAUAGAAUGGCCACAAAGAAGCAGUAGAAGAAGACCAUGAUCAAAUCUGCUGGGAAAUCCUUCAGGAUAAGUGCCUGAAAAAACCAUUAUGUGGAGAAAUGUUGCUGUCACUCCCAUUAUGUUUGUGUUCAUUUUCCUAUCAACUAGUGUCGUACCUGUACAAUGAUAAACAUUGAAGCCGCUAAACAGUCUAUAGCAAGAAAAAGUCCACCCAAGACCCAGUUGGAUUGUUGCUGGUUUAGAAGAUCAUAAUGGGUUAUUGGAGAUGAUGAGGCCAUCAGGAUUGGGAGGCCCUUGUAGAGAAUCAGAAUGAAGGCUCCAGCAAUUGACACUAUGGUACCAAUUGAUUUGGCAAUAGUACUUGAGGUUCUACAAUCUACUUUCUCCAUCCUAAAAUCAGUCAUUUUAGAAGAAUUAAUAAGUUAGCAAUUAACCUUGUCUGAACUUCAUGUCCAAAAUAUCAACCAAAAAAAAAAAACUGAUUACGACAAUCAUAGCUUGAAAUAAUGCAUGUUAGAAUGAUCUUUAAGCAGUAUAGUAAAGCUGAUAAUCUUUCCUUCAAAAGGCUGGAUUUUUAAGUUGGUUAAUUUGGUCAAAAGUAUCCCACAUCAUUUCUAUUCAACUCCCAACUGCUAGACCAGGGUUUGAUCCUGGCUGCCAGGUCUGGGGUAGGGGAGGAAUAGAGGAGUGGGGGAAGAUUGAAAAAUAAAUAAAUAAAAAGAACUAGCGAAACACAUGUAACAUUUUCACCUUUGAGCCAGCACCUGAAACUUUCUGGAACGAAUCCAGGAAUUUUUUUUUCCAAAGAACUAUACAAUAUCCAGCCAAGACAAAUCUUAUUUUUAACCAAAAAAGAGUCUUCUAUAUAAAAUUCUGAACUUUGUUUCUGAAUAUCCACUAAGAAGCAAGGCAGAAAAGUCUUAAAAGUAAAAUUAGGUAUUCACGAGGCCCAUCCUUAGCCAUUUUCCAGAGCAUUCUGAUUCUACUUCCCCAAAUGCAAGUCAAGGCUGGCAAAUGUAAAAGGAACUAGUAAUUGAACCCACAGGUCAAGCUAGUUAAACACGAAGUAUAAAAUGAAAAACCUGAAAAUUACAGCAAGAACAAAUGUGAAACCAGGGAUGAGGUUGAGCAUUGCAGAAGCAAAUGACGCAGAGGUAUAGUCAAUUCCAGCAUAUCCUGUUACCUGAGCAGUGCACCUAAAAAUAGUCCCAAAAAUCAGACCUUAUUUUCGUGAAACUAACUUUCCUUUAAGCAAAAAUUCAAUGAAGAUAUAAAAGGUCUACGAAUUGACAUCAAACAUACCCCAGAACACCCAGCAAGAAAAACCCACUGACCAGUUUGAAAGUGAGGGGAGGCCUAUUUGAUCUGCAGCGACAAAGAUAGAAGAAAAAGGGAAAAUUAUUGAAGGGUCAUAAGACAAAUAUUAAACCUCUGUAAAGUAAGCAGCUUUAUGUGAGUUUGGGUACAGACACCUGUGGGCUAGAAAAGAAGUGGGGAGGAGAAUUAGGGAAGCAAGAGCGUUGGAGUAGGUGACAAAAACGUAUUUGGACAUCCCAUUUGACAUGGCUUCUUUGCUUACAAUAAUUAGGCCUACUUGAGCAGUUUGUGCUAUUACCAUCCCCAAGUAUGGGGCUACGCUCUUCAUCUUCUCCAUGUUUUUCUUGGCGUUCUUGCUCUGCAACCUCCCUGCCUCUUGAAGAGUGUGUAUGUGAAACAGAGGGAUACGGGGCAGGAGCGGUCCUUCUGAGGACGACCGCUCCUGAACGGUCCCCUACAGAAACAAAGGUAAGGCCAGAAAUAAACCACGUCAACUGAUUGUUUUGAAGGAAAAAAACGUCACCAUUUGACGAAAGGAAAAAAAUAAGAUUGACGGACUCCGUUUCCUCUAAACGGAAGAAUUGAAAUUUUGAAAAUAAAGUUCAAAAUUUGAAUUAGCUGCACAAACCAAAACCGAGAGAAGAAAGCAAGUUGGGUAUGUCAUUGUUGCUUGGCUGACGUGAAAUUAGGUGGAGAGAGUUGGGUUAUGGCAUCAGAAGAAGAAGGAAGAAGGCAAACAGUUAGAAUGCUGUAAAAGAAGGCCAACGAUAUCUUCAGAAAUUGUAUGAGCAAUGCGGGCAAGACAGCCGGCAAGGUAGAAGCGAAUUAAAGAGGAAAUUCAUUAUCUGACGUUGCCCACCAUUUUUUGUGCAACUUAAUAGCAGAAGCAACUGUGCAUAAGGGCAUUCGGUGAAACAAAAAGCUCUCAACGGGCCAAGGUAACGUGAUUCAACCAUAUCAACAACUUUGUGAAUCUUAUACCAGCAACUUUUCUGAAUGUUAGAUUCAGUAAAGACAUAAUAUGAAGAUAAUAGAAGAAUAGUCAAUGUGUACUGUAUGUGUGUGUGAGAGCGUGCAGUUUUGCAGUGAUGAACUAUUUAACAAGUGAAUGAAUGUACAUGCUGCUGUAGAUAAGUUACAGGUUAUAACCACCCUAUUACAAUCUUUGUGCAUCCACUAAUUGGUCCAUGGUCAUCACGCAAUCUUAGUUUGCCCCUCUGUUGAGUAUGCAGUGUGUAUAAAAUGGAAGUCUGGGGUUUGACCUAGGAAAAGCAGAGGAAAAGAUAUAUGUGAAUAAUAAAUAGAUGUACCUGGUUUUGUAAGUAAAUUACAUGAUGUAAGAAAUGUAUUAGAAUGAGUAAAAAAUACUUGUUUGGCCCUGAAAAUGUAGAAAUAGUAGAAAAUGCACAGGAAUUGGCUUAGGCGAUUGUCAGUAACGAAUUACAUAACGUCCAAUGAAACAAAGUACCUAGAACCUAAAUAUAAUCACCAGAGUAGAUGUACAUAUAGUUAAAAUAGACUUACAUGGAGUGAAAAACACAUUACAGUCCGUAUAACUUAGUGUACAUGGAGUUAUAUUUGUACAUAGAUAAUGCCAUUGUAUUAGAGUAAAAGUAAAGUGAUGUGAAUCAUUAAUCAUAUCGAUGGGAGUAAUAAUAGAAUUUGGUAUACGAGUAAUGUGUGUAACAUAACAUAUUAUAAACGGUAAUACACACUUAUGUUGUCGUUUACAUACAUACUAUUCAUGAACUAUUGUAAAUUAUGGUGUUGGAUGCAUAAUUGGUAGGAGCAGAAGUAAUGAAUUGUAGAGAAAUUGGCAGAAGAUAGGACUCAUGAGUUAGGAAUGGAGUUCAACAUGGAAGAGGAUGCGUACAAGUUUUAUAACAAAUAUGCCUUUAAAAUGGGAUUUAGUGUACGCAAAGAUUAUUUAAAUAAACACAAAGACUAUUUAGUCUAUUUUAUGCGGUUGUCAUUAACGAAUGACAUAAGGUCCAGUGAGCUAAAGAAUCUAGAAUCAAAAUAUAAUGACCAGCGUGGAUGUACAUACAGUUAAAAUAGACUUACAUCGUGUGACCAAUACAUUACAAUCCGUAUAACUUAGUGUAUAUGGAGUUGUAUUUGUACACAGAUUGUGUUAGAGUAAAAGUAAGGUGAUGUGAAUCAUUAAUCAUAUUGAUAGCGUAAUAAUAGAAUUUGGUAUACGAGUAAUGUAUGAUUCAUAACACAUUAUGAAUGGUAAUAUACAUAUAUGUUGUCGUUUAUGUACAUACUAUUCAUGAAGUGUUGCAAAUUAGGGUGUUUGAUGCAUAAUUGGCAGGAUCAGAAGUAAUGGAUUGCAGCAAAUUGGCAGAAGAUGGGACCCCUGAGUUAGGAAUGGAGUUCAACAGCGAAGAGGAUGCGUACCAGUUUUACAACAAAUAUGCCUUUAAAAUGGGUUUUAGUGUACGUAAAGACUAUCUGAAUAAAGACAAAGACGGCGUGACCACGUCUAGGAGAUAUAGUUGCUGCAAGGAAGGUGUAAAGCGCAAGUACGAAGGUGAUGUGAUGCCAAAGAGGACACGAGCGCCGACGAAAACAGGGUGUGGAGCUAAAAUGGUUAUCGUGUUGUUUAGAGGAACAAUGAAGUACCGUGUGCAUGACCUUGUCUUAGAGCAUAACCAUGAGUUGCACAUUGCUCAAUGUGCGCACAUGAUGCCAUCACAAAGAAAAGUGAGCGAGACUCAAGGAUUCCAAGCUGAAAUAAGCGAGGACGCUGGGCUUUCAUUGAAACAGAGUCAUGAGCUUAUGGGAAAGGAGGCAGGUGGGAUGGGAAAUGUGGGAUAUACUCGGGAAGACCUGAAACGAUAUCUUCGUACUCGACGGGAAAGGAGUUUGAAAUAUGGAGAAGCAGGUAGCAUGCUGAAUUAUUUUCAAGAGCAAACACUCGAGAAUCCAUCGUUUUUUCAUGCCGUACAGCUGGACUGUGAAGAGCAAAUAACGAAUAUCUUUUGGGCUGAUGCAGGAAUGUUAAUUGACUACAAAUUUUUUGGAGACGUAGUCACAUUCGACACAACCUACAAAACAAAUAAAGAAUACCGGCCACUUGGAGUGUUUGUGGGUUUUAAUCAACAUAGGCAAAUUGUGAUAUUCGGUGCUGCCCUUAUGUAUGAUGAGACUAUAGAUUCUUUCAAAUGGGUGUUUGGUACAUUUCUAGCAGCAAUGUGCGGAAAGCGUCCAAGUACCAUACUAACCGACCAAGAUCAUGCCAUGGCAGCCGCUCUUUCAGUUGUUAUGCCUGAAACAUUUCACGGUCUAUGUACGUUUCACAUAAGGCGUAAUUUUAUGAAACAUCUUGGCAAUCACUACAAGGAAAAUAGUGAUCUUCCAUACAUGUUUGGUGCAUGCAUGUAUGAGUUUGAAGAAGUGGAACAAUUCAAUAGGGUGUGGGAGGCGAUGGUGAAGAAACACAAUCUUGAAAAUAAUGAAUGGCUCUCUGGGUUGUAUAGAAUUCGUGAUAAAUGGGCAAGGUGCAUGAUGAAAGAAAGAUGGACCGCGGGAAUGCGAAGCACCCAACUUAGCGAAAGCCUAAAUGCAGCAAUUAAAAAUCAUUUGAAACUGGAUCAUGACCUUGUGCAGUUCUUUAGACAUUUCAAUCGGGUGGUUGAUGAAAAGAGACAUAAUGAACUGAUCGCAGAAUAUGAAAUGAGGCAAAAGCUCCCCAUGGUCGGGUUAAGGCAAACACCUAUGCUUGUGCAUGCAUCAGAGACGUAUUCACCAACCGUAUUUGUUGCAUUCCAAAAUGAAUAUGGCGAGUCAACAGCUAUGGUUAUAUUGAGACAGCAAGAUGCAGCGAUGAUUGUGGAGUUUGCGGUCAUGAGGUAUGAUGGAGGACCUGAAAGAAUAGUGGUAUUCAAUCGGAAUGAUCUAAGUGUACGUUGUAGUUGCAAAAAAUACGAGAAUGAAGGUAUUUUAUGUGGGCACGCGUUGAAGGUGUUUGAUACUGUGGGCAUAAAAAUAAUUCCUCCUGAAUACAUUAAGAGGCGAUGGACAAAAAGAGCUCGGGUUGGAGACUGUUUUGAUCGGCGAAGACGGGAAGUUGUGGCUGAUCCUAAAAUAAUGAUUUCAACUCGUUAUCGGGAGCUCGCUCCCGCCAUGAUUAAAGUCGCAACUCGAACAGCAAUGUCGGAGGACACCAGCAAAGUAGCAAUCACUGUCAUAUCCGAUUUGGCAAAGAGAGUUGAGCUACUCCUCUCAGAAAGUGAAGAACAACCUUUGCAAAAUCAAAAAAAUCUGAAUAUGGAGGUACGGGAUAAAAUUGAAAUUGGGAAUGAAAUGGGGGAGGCAGUAGUCGCAAGAGGCAUUAAAAAACGAGGUGGUGGGAAGAAAAGUAGAGUGAUGCGAAGUUGGAUCGAUAAAUUUGACAGAGUAAAAAGAAAAUCUAGAUUAUCAAGGACUACACAGACUACGGUAUGGAUCAAAUUUUGGUACUCGGGGAACAUUUAUGCUAAAACUAAGUUAUCGUUAUGCUAUUAACUAAAGUUUAGGUAUCAUUCAUUAUGAAAUAAUAUUAUUGCCGUGUCAAUACUGUAGGCCUCAGAAUCGGAGACGACAUCGAUUUCAUAUGAGGAAUACAUGUUUAUGGGAUGUCGUUCAUCUACUGACUCUGUUUCGGUUAGUAUAAAACGGACAUGACUGUUGCUUUUAUUUGGAUGUUUCUAACAGCAUAAAUAGUUACAUUGAUCUUACAUUGUGUAAUAAUGUUGUUACGGCUGUCAUCCCUCAUGAUAUACCUAUUUUGUUUGUCUUAUACAAUGAUUUGGUCCAUACGAAACUCGUAGACGCAUUCAAUGAGCCAGACAGUGAAUGGCCCUCCAAACGCUAUUGCUCCGAAUAUCGAUGAAAGUGAAAUGGUAUGUAUAUAUUCAGUAGUUAAAAUAAAGACCUUCUUAUUCGUGUAGUAGAGCUACCUUUUUUUUAGGGUUAAUAUCAGAAACCUCCCUUGAGAUUUCUUCUAAUCACACCUAGAACCCCUCAUGUUUUCGAAAUCACACUUAGCACCCCUGGAAUGACAACUUUGGUAUCAUUGUCCGCCCCUCAUUAUUUUUGUUCCACUUUUAUCCUCCUUAUGAACUCUAUUUAUGUAACUCACAUCCCUCCACGCAAAGGUAACACUACAAAAUCGUUCUUAAGCAGUGUAACAUAUUUUGAACAUUUUGUAAUUUUAUGUAAGCUUGUUGUACAUCUUUAUAAUAGAUUGCAUUUCUGUUAUUAAGUUUUACAAAUAAUUCACAUAAAGUUGUACAUUGUUUAAAAAAUGUUACAUUGAUCUGAACGGUGAUAAAAAAAAUGUGACUAUGGAUUGUCAUAAUGGCAGCAAUAGUUUCAUUAUGUGAUUGUAGUUGUAAAUCAACUUGCUCUUCCAUUUUUAUGAAAAUGAGGUCGUAUAAAUAGUUUUUUGUGCAUUCUAGUCGAAUGGAGUUUGUAAGUUAUUAAUGUUGCGAUACCCUAUUAUCAAGUAAAAAUGGAUUGCUAAUGUUAUAUACUCAUGAAUUUCCAUCAUCUUUAAACUACUUUUAGAUUAUGUUAUUAUUCACUUAGAAAUUGCAAUUUUGGCAAUGGCACUAUAUCCAUUGCCAAAAGUCAACGUCACUGGAAACUCUAUAGCUAUUUAAUAUUAGGGAGUGGGAUAAGAACAAUUGUUAGAUCAACCAUCCCUAAAUCGUGUAAUAUUUUUUGAACAUUUUGUAAUUUUAUGUAAAUUUCUUGUACAUCGUUACAAUAGAAGUCUGAUAAGUUGUUAUUGUACAUAUGAGUCCAAUAUGUAAUAAUCGUAUUUGUGUUGAUAAAUUUUACAAAUAGUUCAAUUAGAAUUACACUUUGUACAAAAAAUAUUACAUAAUUACAUAAUAGUUUUACAUCAUUUAGGGAAAAUCUCAAGGGAGGUUUCCGAAAUUAACUCUACAUAAAUAGAGUUCACAAGGAGGGUAAAAGUGGAACAAAAAUAAUGAGGGGCGGACAAUGAUACCAAAGUUGUCAUUCCAGGGGUGCUAUGUGUGAUUUCGAAAACAUGAGGGGGUUGUAGGUGUGAUUAGAAGAAACCUCAAGGGAGGUUUCUGAGAUUAACCCUUUUUUUAUAGUAUUGUAAUGGGGAUACGGGGCAGGAGCGGUUCUCUCCUUGUAAUGGUGGGCACCCGAAAGCUGUCAAAUCAUGCCUAAUUGUGUAGUUAACGUAUGCUCGCUUUAAUAACAUAUUAUUUUUUAUUAUUCGAAGGUUCACCGUUUGGCUAAUCAGGGACCUCCUACAAGUGUCCCUACAGAAUAGAUGCAUCCCAAAUUUUCUAUUUUGUUCAAGUAUAACUCUGUUAGAGAUGUCUUAAUGGUCCGAUAUAUCAUUUUCAUUAUAAUGUCUAGUCCAAUUUAACUUUAUAAGUGAGCAAUAUUGGCAUUGGUAAUGAUUUGUUGACAGUCGAUUACUUAUACUAUGUAAUGUAGGAGGAGCGUGCAGCACUUUUAACACACUGUGAUGUUGAUGCAUAUCAUGUAUUUGCACCUUCACCCCAGGUGAUAAACUUUUAUCGUUGCAACACAUAUUUAUGUACUGUUGUUAAUUGGAGACUUGGACAUCGUAUAUCAUUAAUCGUAUGUUUCAUUGAUAAUAUUGCUGAUUCACCAUCGUUACGCAUUUCAGGGAAGAAAUAACACCCAGGGAUUGCAACUUCACGUUGACGUCGCCUCCCCCGAUAAUGAGAUUGAUGAAUGAUGUGUAACUAUAUUUUUUGAACGAGACAUUAAGUGGUUGUCCCAACUUAGGAAUACUGCAUAUGUACGUGUUACAAGCAGUUAAUAGGGUGUUAUAACUUAUUGACGAGGUUGUACAGGCACCAUUGAUAUUUCACUUUUUCAAAUUUAGACAAGUGGAUUACAAUUGUAAUCAUAUCUAGUGGUACUAAUCAUCAAUAGUUUGUAUUGGGUUAUAUAAAAUUGUUAGAAAAUUAUAAAGUUGGUAGAAAAUUGAAGUAACAAUUUUACAAUAGAAUUGAACGUGAUUUUUGUGAUCGGAUAUUUUUCACUAAAUCGACCAUAACCAACAAAAAUGGCUGUCGUGAUAUGUAUACUAUUCUACUACAUUCAAUUGCAUACCUUAAUAACAUAUUUAUUGGCAUAGAUCGCACCGCCAAAGGUACGAUGUAUAAGAUAACACAGUCUAAAGUAUAAAUUGUCUUGAUUUUGUACAAAUACUAAAUUCGAAUUAUUAUUGGGCUAUUUUUAUUAAAAUAUUAUCAUUUAGGCCAUUUGUUUUGUAUCGAUUGACGAAUUUAGCGCCCCAUUGACAUGAUGUAUCACAGGCACAUCAAUUGGUAUUACAAGGAUUAGGUACAAGUUUUUAGGUUAAUUGAAUUAUGGUCAAGCCAGGUCACGAGCACAUGUUGGUAAUAAGUGCGCAUAAGAAAAUGAUUCCUUGGAGAAUUAAUUUGUAACGUUAAAACGAAGUUUUACAAUGUCACAAAAAGGAAGAACGAACAGUACACAAUGGGUUACAACCAGUAAGGGAUAUGUUACUGUUGCGUUACAACUAGUUACGACUGUUUAACAGGCAUCACUAAUAUCCAAGUAUGGUAAGCAAUUUGUGGGAGUAGAGAUUACAAUGAGUAUAGUUUUAUCGCUACCCUCUUGAACAUUGGACUACAUCCCUUGUUAUCAGUUGUAUCCCAUACAACACCUGGGAACGCCGUCAUGCAUUAAACAGUGGGGUAUGUCACAGGUGCUGGUAGAAUGAACUCUGCUGACCGCAGAACAGUGCUCUUCUUUGUUGCACGUGUAGACUUGUGCUUCACCUCAACGUCAAGGCCUCCUACAAAAGACAAAUAACAUGCAUUUCAUAUGACAUUCAUUUGUUGUCGUCUAACAAAUUAUAAGGUAUUUUGCUUCAUUCUUCAGACACAAUGCAAUUAGCAGUCAUCAAACAACAAUCGAUUAUUUUUCAAAUGCAAUGUAACUGUCCUAAGAACUAUUUGUACAACUCUUCAAACACACUGUAACUAACACUUAUCAAACAGUUGUGAUAAAUUUUCAAACACACUAACCUCUCAAUAACUAAUUUGUAACAGACUUCAAUCACACCAUAACAGUAUGCUAAACUAACUGUUUCUAAGAGUUUUCAAAUGCACUUUGACCAAUAAAUAAGUGAGUAUCAACCUACAAACACACAUUUAAACAGCAAUCAUUUAAUAUGGAGUUAUGUUUGAAUUUUGGAAACUGUAACUUAUCUAUUAAUUAUAAUGACUAACAGUCUCCAAUAACAUUCAACUUUCGUCUAAAUAAUCACUCAUGUAACAAGUUACAAACACUUCGUAACUAAAAUUCUUCAAUUACAUCACCUGCAUUAAUUAUGAAAUAGCUUUCCGGUAACUAUUGUACAAUAAUGUAAAAUAAAUUCCGUGACUAACGAUCAGCGAAUAUGGAGUUGUGUAUUCAAUAGAGCAAACUGUAACUUUCAGGUUACUAUUUCGUGACAAACUUCAAGCACACUGUAAACAUUCUUCAAACAUACUAAUUUUUAAUCUAUAAGUUUUCACAUUUUUUGGCAACAAUUUUUAAACACACUGUAGCUUUUCAAUAACUAUUUUGUAACAUUUUUCCACUGCAAUGUAACUAACAUUUUUUGAAACACACUAACUUCUUAACAUGAAUAAAGUCAUACUUUCAUAAUAUGCCUAAUUACGUUUGUUACAUCAACUUCAUAUGUGUAUCAUAUCGGACAGGGUAUGACAGUAUGCUUAACAAGUUUUCGAUGAUGACAAGCCAGAGUUCAGACCCGUGUAUCUGGCAUCAUGAUGGUAUAAACACAGUUACCGUAUAUGAUAAUAGAUGUUACAGUCAUACUACAUGAAUUACAAUCUUAUGAAUAAUAACAGUAUACCAACCUUUCCGCUUUCGACCAUAUGAUCGCAACUUUCGUGGCAUUUCUUGCUCAAGCAGAUGUGACGUCGAUGCACUGGCGUGCAAAGGUGGUUGCACCGUACAUUGACCCUCUUCGGCAGGUUCUAUGACGUUUGACCUGUAUUGCUCCUGCUCUUGCUCUUGAAGCUGUAUAAUGCUUCCUUGCGCAGUUGUUGUCAUGGUGGUCCCUUGUUCCAAUCCGCGACUGAUGUUAUCGGGUACGACUGAUGAGGUAGGAAUUGGAUUCUCCACGUCCAUUACAUCUUCAUUCAGCUCUGUAUCUUGGAUACCUUCAAUAUUUGUCCUCGUAUUGCCAUCGUCUUUCUCGGCUUGCGCUGCAUUAUGCUCGUCUUCAUCAGAUCCUUCCGCAUCAAUUUCUUCAGCAUCAUCAUCCUCGUCGUCUGCCCCUUCUUCGGCAGAUUGAAAUUUCGGCUCUUCUUCGGUGUCAGGACUCUUGUGCAUUGUAUAGUCCUCCUGUACAGGUUUUUUUCCUUUGUCCAAUGCUUCAGUCCCAGAAGUGGAAGCUUUUGCUCUCGGCUAAGAGGAGAAGAUUUCUGCAAUCUUCAAUAUCCUUCGUUGGCUACUAACAGCAAUGUUAUACAGCUCAUUUAGCUCAGCCUGCAGUUAGAUGAUGAAAUUAUCAAUCCAUAAAUGAGCCACAUGCUCUCAACAAUUUCAUACAAUACAGGCAUAUACAAUAGUACAUUUACGCAACGGUUCUUAAUUUAACAUUUGAAUUGCGGCCAUAGGUUCUAUACCUGUAACUUAUAUACUAAAAAAUAAAAUGAUCAACCGGGAUCAUUGAAACUUCAUACAUUUAUAACAUGAUUGGCCAAGAGAUCACUAUAUUUCUGUAUUUCCAUUCAUGUGACUUAAUUUUUAAAAACUCUCUAGACAGGGAUGUAAUAUUGGGAUUGGUAUCACAUAUUAACAUGAUACUACAACAUGAAUGAAGUUGAUAGGCCUAUCAAUAACCAAUAACGUUGCUUACAAUAUGCAGUAAUUACGUCUAAUCAAACAACAAAUUUCAUUAAAUCAUGGAACAGACCCACUUACACCGAUAUCGGCGUGCCCGCUGUUCAUCAGCAUUCCUACCAAAUCAGGGGGUAGUUCAGUACUCUGCCCAUCAUAUUCAUUAUCUUCCGGAUCAUAUUGUCCAAUCUUUAACAACAAAUUAAACCAACCAUUUCAAUAGAAAAGCCACGCAAUAUAUAGACCACUACCUUUUAUAUGAAAUGAGAUCAAUAAUAUAUAACAUUUUACCAGUUUUCCUUUUCCAUAAGCUCCAAGAUUUUUAAUCUCAAGUGCAUCCCUUUCAGAGAUCAGAGCAUCUGUCCAUGCCUUAGCUCGCGGAGUAGUCCUCGACACUUUAUGCUUCAGUAUUUGUACCCGAUCAAGAUAAUGAAUCUGCAAUACAAUACAGUAAUUAAUUCAACUGUAGAUAAACUUGACCACACUGUUAAAACAUCAUCGUAGAUGCAUUCAUUUGAGCAUAAUCUAAUCAAUCCAUCGCACUGAAUUUGAUAAAAUGUGGAAAUACAGACAGUAUUUAUGAAGGCACGCAAAACUAAUUGACUCUCUGGUGCACUGUGUAACAAUUAGAGCAUAUUUUCGUCAUGACUACAACUAUCUAAUCUUACCAGCAGAACGAAGAUACAACCGCCAACGUAUUGGUGCUGCUUUUCAUUUUUCUUUUGCACCUCUAGCACCUUAUUGCAUAGUACGAUCCUCACAUACUCAGCCCAGUUCAAUCUGGCUACCCUAUCAACCAAUUGCGUACAGUUCCAAACCUUUAUUUUGUGCUCGGCUCUAGUGGUUGGAGCCAGUAGACAUCCACAAGAAAAUACCACGAAUAGUCUUAAGAAUUCUUCCCCUGCAUUCAUGGCUACCAAUUCAUUUGGGAGCUCAUUCCAUUUGUAUGUCCUACGACUUGGUCCAGUUCCCCCAACCUCGGUUGUAUCGGUGUCUUCAACUGGAACGGGACCUUCGUUCGGGAUCCUCAGGAUUAAACUGAUAUCCUUUGACGUUAAAGGUAGCACACCAUCUCCAUGUACAUUUAAACUGCUCAAUAUCGGAUUAAAGUUGUCAACAGCCCUCCAAAGUUAUGCCACUAGGAAUCCACUGACACUGUAUGUCUAGCAGCCCUCCAAAUCUUAUGUCUCUAAUCUGCUGCUUCUUAGUUUCAUCGAUUCGUGAAACUAAACUUGACAUCUGCUUUGGCGAGCAUCGGAUAGUGUACUUCUGAUUCUACACCAUUUUUUAGAUAUAUGCAUUAGACUAAUAUAAGUCUCAUUAAAUGUUUGAUGAAUCAUGCCGUAUAUUUACCUUGAUUUGAACCCGUGCUUUUCGCAAUAUCGGCUUUCCUAGACGUUCCAUUUCUUUCUCAUACUCUUCUUUCUCUUUCAAAUAUUCCUCCUUUCGCUUCCUCAUUUCUUCCUCCCUCAACUUAUUAUAUGCUGCCCGGGCAAUGUCAUUGUACUGCAUUGAAUAAAUAAAUUCAAAAACCACGUUAGACUAAACACAAAAUAAUUGCUCGUUUCACUAUUUUUCCCUUAGGCACCCCAUCAGUUCAAUGAUUCUUCAGUUUAUUUUACUAGGACAGCAUACCUCGGUCAGCUUAACACCCUUCGCCGAAAUCGUGUGUUGAUACUCUUUCCUGUCCACAUUCAAAACUCCAAAGUUAUAUGUGCUAUUUAGUACCAUUAUUUUUCCCUCAUAUUCAAUAAUCUUACCUGAACUUCAUCCAUGGAUUCAAUGGUGGGACUGGUUCUGCGACCUCGCUUGUUCCCGCUGUAAUCAGUUCUUCCUCCCCACCUAAACGAUCAUUCCUUUUACUGCUUCUUUUCCUUCCCAUCCUGCCCCUGAACAGUCAACAUUGUAAUGCUGAAUAAUGAUGCCAAGUCUAACCUGCCAAGACCUUACGCAAGCACUGGCCACUUACCUAUUCGAUGAAGUGGGUGCUGCACCGUGUUCUGUACCACCACUUGUUUCGGCGAGAUCUUCUCUGUCUGCUUCCUGAAGUGUGCUUCCUGCUCGCGUUCUUGCCAUUGUAAACUAAUGUUUUUAACAAACAUAUUGCACUUCAGUUCCAAAAUUUUUUUUCCAGCCACAGUCAUAACAUAUCAUGAAGUACUGCUAAACAUAAUAUAUGAGCAUCAAAUAUUAGUCACACUAGUUAUAGUACAACCUGUAACAAUUUUUCUCACACUCAGUAACUCAUUCUUCACAGUUUGUUAUUUAUUCCAACUGCCACUAAUCUACAUAAUCUGUUGUUCUACCUAUCAGAUUGUACUUCAUCCAUCAAUUUCUUCUUCUAUUUAUUAUGCUACUGUACAAUACCAAUGCAGUAGAGUAAGGGGUCAUCCAAAUUUAUAGUAUCUUCAUGAAAUUCUAUAGACCAGUUCUAUUAUUGUAACUUCUGAUCUAUUACGUGUAACAACUAUCAAAGAUGAUGUCCAACCACAACAAUUAUUGUACAAGUAAUCUUCCUUUUCACAAUUUGUUUGUCUCAAUACCAAAUUUUCUGGUUAAUUAUCCCUCAUUUAGUCAUUUCAUAAUCUAUUCCUCUGCCUAUCAAGUUCAAUUCAAUCACAUUCUCCUUUAUUUAUCACCCUCUUCAACAAUAUAAAUGAAGCAACAAACCCGUUAAACAAUUUUACUUCAUUGUUCAUCCAAUUUUACAGUGCACUUCUCCUAGUGUCACUAUUAAAUGACUGCGUGUAAUGACUAUCCAACAUGAUGUGCACCUACAAUAACUAGUAAGAUUCUUAACCGUUAUUCCACACUAACUAUGCUAAACCUCAUGAUUUGUUAUUCCGUCUGUCUCACAUUGCCAACUUAUAACCUACUCUCGUACUCAUUCACUUCCAGCCUAGAAACUUGUCUCUCUUUAUGCAAGUAAACCAAUAACCUGUAACAUCAACGUAAAAGAAAAUAUGAGAAGCACAACUGAGUAUAAAACAUUAAAACUCUGUUAUUUCUCUGUACCUGUUAAACCACAACAUGUAACAAUUAUCCAACACUGUGUUAAUGCACACGCCCUAAUACAAUAAACUUACACCAAUCAAGACACAAAUACGACAUCUCAAUUUCAAAAUAACAUUUUCAUUAGCAAGUAUGAGACGCACAACUCAGUACAAAACAUUUGAACUCUAUUAUUUUUAUGUACCUAUCCAACCACAACAUGUAACAAUUAUCCAACACUGUGUUCCUGCAUACGAACUAAUAUAAUAAACUUACACCAUUCAAGACCCAAAUACGACAUCUCAAUUUCAAAAUAGCAUUUUCAUUAGCAAAUAUGAGACGCACAACUCAGUACAAAACAUUUGAACUCUAUUAUUUCUAUGUACCUGUUCAACCACAACAUGUAACAAUUAUCCAACACUGUGUUCGUGCACACGAACUAAUACAAUAAACUUACACCAUUCAAGACCCAAAAAUGCCAUCCCAAUUUCAUGAUAACAUUUUUUCAAUUGUAAUCUGCAUCCAUUUUUUCAAUACUAACUAUCGAACCCAUGCACACAUUUUCUCAAGCAGUUGUGCCGCACGAUUUCCCCCUUCUUUCCCACUCUCACUCUGUCAUGCUCAAAAACUAACUCAUAAUACUCCUAUCAUGCUGCACUUACUCAUUACUAUACACAAAAUUGUGCUCACGUGAUAUCCCUCUAAGCGAUCAUCCUACUGUACGCCAACAACAUCCACAAGUAAGGUCCUUCAACAAGCAUGUCAAAUCAAGCAUGUCCUUCAACAAGCAUGUCAAAUCACACAUGUUACUGCAUCAUCGUAGGCCUCAAAAAAAUUUGAAUACCUGACUGAUUUUCGGUCGUUCACUACUCCCGCGCCUACGAUCUUCCGCUCUUCAACCUUGGGUUCACCUUUCUUCUUCUUAUAAUAAAUCCGAAUCACCAGAAAUUUGUCCACCACUCCACCACUUCUUGCUUCUCCUUGCUAUUUUUUCAGUAUCCAAUGUUGCACUUCCACAGCUUUUCGCAAUGUCACGCCGGAGAGUGUUGCCAAUCUCAUAUUUUCCCCUCUUAUUUCUCCCUUCGUGGCUUUUCGCAUGCAACUGCUUCGUCUGGUUUGGGUGGGAGUCUAAGUGCGGCUUUUCAUUUUCAACCUUUCGGUUUGGGCGGGACUUUGCUUACUAGUGGUCAUAACGUUCCGUUUCUUGUCGUUACGGUCAGCAGAGUAUAACCAUUUUUUUUACUGUCUCACUUAAUAAAACGACGUCGUUUUGGGCCAAACUGAAGCCUUUUGACGUGGUUUAUUUCUGGCCUUACCUUUGUUUCUGUGAGGGGACCGUCCAGGAGCGGUCCUUCUGAGGACCGCUCCUGCCCCGUAUCUAGGGCUGUUAAUCGAACCGGGCAGCUCGCGAGCCGAGCUCGACCCGGCUCGAUAAGAGCUCGGCUCGGCUCGUUUAGAGAGACAAACGAUCCGAGCUCGAGCUCUACUUAGUACUCGUUUAAGCUCGUUAGGCUCGAAGGGUAGGGGCAUUUUUGUCAUUUCAAUAUAUAUGAGGUAUUUUAACCAAAGUCAUCUCCAGUCUCCGCCUGUAGCCCUAAUUUUUUUUCCUCUUUUGGUCUUACGUUUUUCCCUCCCACAGCCGUCACCCUCCAGCCGCACCCCGCAGUCGCACCCCGCAACCUCCAUUCUCACGCCGCACCCAGCAGCCUCCAUUCUCACCCCGCACCCCACAGCCUCCGUUCGUUUGUUUUUUUUUGCAAUGAAUCUCUCUGAAGUUGGCGCGAUUUGUUUUUGCAGAAUAUGCUUACACGCUGCAAGUCGAUGAGAAGAGUGAUAUUUAUAGCUACGGCGUGGUGUUAUUGGAAAUCUUGACCGGGAAAAGAUCUGUGGAUGCAGAAUUUGGGGAUGGCAAUAGUAUAGUAGAUUGGGUGAGGUCUAAGAUUAAGAGUAAAAAUGGUUUUCUUGAUAUUCUGGACAAAAAUGCUGCUUCGUCGUGUGCCUCCAUGAGGGAGGAAAUAAUGCUAGUGCUAAGAAUUGCAUUGAUCUGCACCAGUCGAAAUCCGGCUGACCGUCCAACUAUGAGGGAUGUAGUAUCAAUGCUGCAAGAGGCCAAGCCGAAGAGGAAACUGCCCGGAGGCGGCGAAGAAAUUGGCACCGCUUGUGAUGCUGUUCCUUUGGUACAAAAGCCGGCAUCUAUAAUUGAAUGUUAAUAGGAUUGGGUUUUUUAUUUUUUUUUUGGGUUUUUUUCUUCACUUUUCAAAUUUUGAUUGUGGGGAUUGAUAUAGGAAUUUUUUUUCCCUCUUAUUUCCACUUCCAAGUGUUCUGAUUCUAUCACUUGCCGUGACUAGGCUUGUUAAAUGGUUCUUAAUAUAUGCGUGCAAAUUUCAUAAGCAUUGUACCCUUGAUGAGGGAUAGAUUGAGGUUUUUGCGAGCUCGAGCUCGAUGAGCUCGGCUCGAUUUUAAACUCGAGUUCGAGCUCGAGCUCGAGUUUUCUACUAAUAUAUCGAGUCGAUCUCGAACGCCUUGUAAAGCUCGAAUUACUAAUCGAGCGAGCUCGAGCUAGCUCGAUUAGAGGUUCGAGUCGAGCUCGAUUGUCCUAUGCUCGAGCUCGACUCGACUCGUUUAACAGCUCUACCCGUAUCCGAAACAGAGGCAGCAGCAAGCUUUCUGAAGAUGCGAAACUAGACGUUUAAUUUAUUUACUUUUUACUUUUACAUCCGUAACUUACUCUGCUCCUGUACUUAUAUGAAUUUGAGAAAAUUACAUGAUGUGGUAAAUGAUGGGAGACAAGGACUUAAUCGCCCCGUCAACUUAAAGUCUUUAGAGACUGCUAACAACCCAAAUUGCUGUUGGUUAAUUAGACAUUUAAUUGGGCACCACUUAUUCAUUCAUUAUUCAUAUUCCAACUAACUAAACUAAAGCGUGGUGUUUGAGAUUCAAAAAUCACGCCUUUGACCGAGCAAUCACUAAAAAAUUUAAAAGAAAAAAAGCAGAUAAGUAAUUAUCAAAUUACUGUAGAGUUAACUGUUCGGGUAGUCCCUGAGGGGGUGCUUGGAGGAGAUUAAAAUGACAGGAUUCUGGGAUGUUACAUAAAUUGGAUUUGUUUUUUGAAUUGCAUUUUUUCAUUUUUUUUCUCCUGUGGGUGGAAUAGAAGCAGUUUACGCUUAUGAAUUCUUGUUUGACAACUACAAAAUCCCUUUCCUUCGGUUUACAUCACAUGUUAGGACUCAGGAGUCUUACGACCAACUUCGCGUACAUUCAAGUCAACAACAAACAAAAUGUUGUUUAGUACUCGUCCAACUAUCUAUAAUGUGACUUUGGGUACUGAGCUUUAAAGAAAACAAGUACCGUUGGUGCGUUUGGAUAGAUGAAAUAUUUCACAUAAUAUUUUGUUUGUAUCAUAAAUAUAUUUUUCAAUUUAUCUUUUUAUAUUUUUAAUUAUUUUUUUGUCCCACAUAUAUCGCAUAACAAAAAGUAUUAUACUAGCAAUUAUUUCAAAUAAUACUCUAUCCAAACACAAUUAUGCACUAAAUCCAAUCAAUUUGGGGCUCUAAAGACACUUUUAUAUUUAUGCAUAUUAAUUACUGGCAAUCUUUAUUAUUUGUUUUUUUUUUGUUAUUCACUGCUACAAUUUAAAUUAUAAAUCACGUAGAAUUAAUAAUCUUGAGAAGAAAUUAUAAGAGUUAUGAUAGUGAGAUUCUUCUCAUUCCUAUGGUUAUUAAUUUUAGAUAUCCCUAACCAGAGUAUUAUUGAAAAAAGGGCAUCACUAAUGCGGAUAAGUUAGCAUAUACUAAGUUUCAAAAAAAAGAAGGAAGCAGUGGAUCUCAUCAACUAUGAUGUGGUAAUAUCUAAACUAGUAUAUGGAUGCUUGUGGAUGACAAGUACAUUGGAUUGAUCAAUUGAGAAUUUCAUAGUGUCAAUGAAAAAUUCUCUACAUGAUAGAGGGUGUAAAGUGAUCCUUAGACUUGAAAUCACCGUAACAUCUUGAGUAUUGACUAUUGUAUUUUGGCUCUAUCCGUUAUUAUUCUUAAUUGAGUAAUUACGCGGUAGAUGUUGGAUAUAAUAUGAAAUAUGGAAGGAUGAUGAGUGAUCAAUAAAGGAUUUACCACUCUUAACUAUAAGAGAGAUAUCCCUAUGGGAGGGCACUUAUAGGAAAUGAUAACCAAUAAAUCUCUGCACGGAGUGUAAUUGUAAUUGAAAAGUGUAUUUCCAAUUUCAACUUCAAGGAGUUGCAUUUUGGGAACAAGGAAGCAACAAAUAGUAUAAGAAUAAUAGAGGAUGACAUUAUGUACUAACCUUUUUUAUGUUAAAUAGAAUAUGUUUAUGGUGAAAAGAUAUCAAUUACACAGAAACUAAUUCAUGAAAAGGUAAAGUCAGUCAUUCGACUUUUCUCAAGAUUUGGGUGAUCAUAACACAUUGUUAGAUGUUAAAUGAUCUAUGAGUAUGAAUUGAUUAAUUAAAUUGAAUUAAUGAUAGAUUAAAAGAGUUUUAAUUUAUUUUACCUAAUUGAAACAAUGGGUUAUGAUUCACAUUCAUUGCCAAAUUUUAUAAUAAUCUAUUGGAUCAUACACAAUAAGUCAUCUUCUCCAAGGACCAAAAUGAAAUUAAGUGAGACUUAAUGAGUUAAGUAUAAGAUACUUAAGGGUCCAAUUUGUGAAGACAAAUGGGAUUCAAGGAGUUAAGAGGAAAUUACCUAACCCUAGUAGAUUAGAUUAGGAAAAUUCCCUUAAAUACAUCUUUUACACAAAGAGAACAACUCUUUCUUUUGAUGUGGAGCGGAGGGGCAGCCACAAAAGUCACGAGAUUAAGGAGAGAAAAAUCAGUUUUUCUCUCAUUUCUCAAUCAGUUUUUCUCUUAUCUUUCUCACAUUAAAAAGGUUUAGAUAAUGACCUAGCACUUUAUCUCUCUUGUGCACUCAUUUACUUGGAGGUUCUCCUUGAGAAAUUGGUGGUGCGGACUUCACUAGAGGCCAAACACUUGGAUGACUUAGUGGUGGCUUUGCCUUCGAUUGAAAGAUUCUUGGAGGCUUCACACAAUAUUGGUGGUGAUGUUGAUUCAACCAUCCAUCCAUUUACAAGAGAGAGUUUCUUCUUGAGAUAAUCUUCUUGCAACCUUUUUGUAAGCCAUAAGAUCUUUCAAGUAGAUCCAUGGGAUUGGAAACAAAAUUUUAAAUUUCUAUUUCGCUGCCUUGUGUGCUUCUUAUUUAUUUCCUUUCAAACUAAAGGGGAAAACAAAUCAAAAGGUUGAUGAAUUUCUCAAACUUAGAGUAAAAGGUAUCAUAAACUUCAUGCAGCAAUGUCUCCAUAGAAAUUGAUUCAGUUGCCUCAAGAAAAUGACUAGUGGGCUAGUUGGUAGACGAAUUAAUAACAUUGAGAUUGAAAAACAAGAAGGAAAGGAAAAUCUAUUAAGCUGUGUGUAUCACUUUUGGAACAGUAGAUUACAGAAUAAAUCCUUGUCAAGUACAUUUCCAGUAGCUUGCUGAUCUGAAAUUACAUCCAACUCCCAGGCCAUUGUAUUAGGAAAUGACACUGUAGAAACUUUCACAAUAUUUGCUUAAACUUGCUAGUAGAUGGCUUGCCAUGGUGUGUGCCUAGUGGAGCUAGAAAUUCAACGCAGAUCAUUUGGGAAAAUUUUUUGAAAAAAAAAAUAUUAUAUAGCUUUUUUUUUACAUGUAAUGUAUAUGAGAUAAAAAGAUAGUUGAAAAAUAUAUUUAUGAUAUAAGCAGAUAAAUGUGUGAAAAUAGUUUGCUAUCCAAACAUACUCAGAUGGGCAUCUUUUGUUGCAGCAAGAGACGGGUCUAGCAGCACCGCUUAUGCAUUUCUUCUCAAUUGCCUUCUUUGGCUAUCAAAAGAGGGGCAUUUUCAUUGCCUGGUUCCAAGCUGUUCAAUCCACUAUCGUCAACCGCCUUCAUUUCUUUAGCUUUUCCCCACAUCACAGAGUGAAAUCCAAUUACAAUGAUAAUAGAGCCUGCCCACCAAACUGCAAAUAGAUUGAGAAUUGUUGUCUGUGAUUGUUCUGCAGAGAAAAUUAGUUACUAUUACUUAAUCCUGCUUAAUGAUUACAAACCAUGAACAGAAACAACUAGGAACUAAUUAGAAUAAGAUCGGAUCCUAUGGUUUUGGGGUAUACCACAGAGAAUCUUAAUACCUUCCAAGAUAGAAAGUGUCAUGCAGAAAGAUUACCCCCAUUAUAGUUGCAAUGACAAUACCGAGGGGAUGAAAUGUUGCUGCGAAAAGUGGACACUUUUUUUUGUGCACGCACCAUGCACCGAUAGCGACUUGAAAAACAUAGCCAAAAAAUUCCUAAAUUCACAUUUAAUACGUGAACUGGAAGAUGUUAGACAAUCAAACAAAAUGUAGGAGUAGACACUACAUGACUCAUCAGAUAUGACUAUUUCAUUUGCUAGUACUUGAGGACCAAAGUGGUUAAAAUGGAGUGUUAGCAAAUCAGUGAAACAUGUUAUGGUGCAGGAAAUUUCGAUGCAUACCCAAUAUAUAACAGCAAACAACCUUGUCUUUGAUUUUAAGCUCCAAGCAUUGAGGUUUCUUUCCGGGAUUAGGUAAGCAGCUAAGGAAAGAACAGCCACAAAGCAGCUAUAAAAGAACAUUAUGAUCAACUCCACUGGGUACUUCUUGAGGACAAAUGUCUGAAGGCAUAAAAGUGAAGCCAUAAUCACUUGUUUUCUGAAUUAUAUACAUUUGUCUUGAAUCAAAGCCUCUUUAACACCAUUAAUUAACAAAUAGUGACGCAAUCACAGAAUCGAUGCCAAGCAGCAGUCCUCCAAGCACCCUACUUGAUGACUGCGAAAGAGGGUGAAGGGUGAGAUUUGAGCCUGAAGGGAUCAUCAGCAAGGGAUAAAGGGUUGCAAUCAAAGCAGCUGUGAAAGCUACAAUAGUCCCAAUGGGAUUGGGCCGGUGUGCUGAUGCUUCUGCUGUCCAUUAUUUCCAUCCUGAGACACCAAUUGUAAUUUACUGAGACUAAAACAUUUUGUUGUCUACUUGGACAAAACACUUAAUCCCCUGUAAAACUAGGAGGUAUAACCACGGCGUUGCACGGUGGAAUAGAAAGCAUGUAUGCCUAUUUAGGCAUUGUUAAGUAGGCAUUACAUGGACAGUGAUAAUGUCAUUGGAAUAAAUAUCUUGUGAUCCCUUCCAUGUGUUUUAUUUAUUGAGAUUUAUAUACCUUGUAAUUUAAUCAUGUUGACCUUGGUCGAUCAAUCCUUGGUUUUGAUGAUUAACAAACCAAAAUGUAGAUUUGGGCUAAUGUUUUUAUGUGAGUAAUUUGUUAGAACAGAUUCUUGUGGCAUAAAAGAAGAAGCAAAAACAGGGCACUCAUGUCGAACGCUAUCGGACGUCCGAAAGGAUGAAGAACAUCAAGAAGGAAACUCUGUCGGACGCUCGUGAGGAAGCAUCGGACGUCCGGAAGGAUCGGACGCACGCCUCGGACGCACAUCGAUCGCAUCGGACGUCCGAGAAAUUUCGCAAAUAUUUGAUGACUCUCUGCCUACGUUCGGACGCAGGGUUCGGACGUCCGACAGGAGGUCUCGGACGUCCGACAGGCCAACGGCUAGUUUUGACAGUAUUUAAUAUUUGACCGUUGGAGAGCCUUUUGAAGCCAUUUCUCACCUUCUAUAAACACCCCAAAGCACAAGAAGACAAGGGACUUUUGCCAACACAAAAUACAAGCUUACAAGUGAGAUUUUUGAGUAGAAAGAUUCUUUGUUGGUUGUAUAAGGGGUUGGAAAAGUUGGGUUGUGAGGUUGCUCAAGUGAAAACCUUGGUGAAGGUGAACCUAUCACUUGGAGUGGUAAAACCUUGGUGAAGGUUGCCUCAUUUGUAUAAAAUAGUUCUUAAUUGGGUGAGUGAUCUUUCAAGUGUAGGUUGUUGAGGGUUAACUAGAAUUGUUGUAAAACUCCUUGGCUCAACCAAAGAGUGUUUGGGGUGAGAAAGGAGUGAACCUUCACUUGUACAUCUUGGUUAGCAUCGCCAUCAAUUGAAGAGGCUAUUGGAUUGAUAUUUGGUUUGCAUUUCUUAUCUUUUCUCUUUAAUUAAGUUUUCUUUAUUGUGCUUAAAUUUGAUAUAUCUUUGUGCAUCAUUGUGAAAUUGUUUGUACUCAUUGGGUUGCACCGGACAUUACAAUUGGUAUCAGAGCCAGGUUUCUUUUGAUCAAUCUUAACCGCUUAGAGUAAAGAUCAUGGCAACCAUAAAAGUUUCUUUUUUAGAAGGGCAAUCUAUUGAUAGACCACCUAUGUUUAAUGGUUCUCAUUUUAGCAUGUGAAAACAAAGAAUGAUGAUUUUCUUACAAUCCGUUUAUAUUGAAUUAUGGUAUGUGGUAGAAGAUGGUCCUUAUGAAGAUAGAAUAGUUGACUCCACCACCAAUUUGAGUAGAUUAAAGACUAGACAAGAAUUGAAUGAAAAAGACAAGAGAUACCUUUCUUUGAAUGCCAAGGCCAUGUGUAUAUUGUACAAUGCAUUAGAUGUAAAUGAAUCUAGCAGGAUUAAAGGUUGUAAAUCAGCUAAAGAUAUUUGGGAUAAAUUGUGUGUAUUUCAUGAAGGUAACCAAGAUAUUAAAGAACAAAAGAAAUCUUUGCUUGUUUCUCAAUAUGAAUUUUUCAAAAUGCAUCCUCUUGAAAAUGUUGAUAAGAUGUGUAGUAGAUUUUGUGACAUUAUUGAAGAUCUUAAAUUGCUUGGAAAAAAAUAUUCUUUGGGUGAGAAAAAUAGAAAGAUUUUGAAUGCCUUGCCAAAAGAAUGGGAAAACAAAAUAAAUGCUAUAGAAGAGGCAAAGGAUUUAAAUUCUAUGUCCAUUGAAUCUCUUGUGGAUACCCUAACCUCUUAUGAAUUAAAGCUGAAAUUCAAAGUGCAAGAGAAAGAAAAUGCAAGAAUGUAUAAGAGAGGCAUAGCUUUUAAAGCAUCUCAAGUGGGGGAUAACCCAUCCUUCAUGGGUAAUGAAAUCAUGGAAGUGGACAAUGAUACAACUCCUCACAUCAAAAGUUCCAAGAAGACCUUCAACAAGAGAUGCUCAAGAGGAGAUUGCAAAAUUACAUGGGAUGAAUGCAAUUCAAAAAGAGAAAAAGAAGAGUUGGCCCAAAUGGCACUAAUGGCCGUUGAAGAAGAUGAGGUAAGUUCUUAUCACUCUUCUUGUGAUGAAAAUAAUGAAGAUGAUGAUGUGAAAAUUCUUAUGAUUAAAAUGCAUAAAAGUUUGAGAAAAUCUUAUGCUAAAAAUAAAGAUUUGAAAACAAAAAUAAAUGAUUUGUUGGAAGAAAACUCCAAACUGUUUCAAGAAAACAAAUGUUUGAGAAUGGAAAAUGAUGAUUUAAAAAAUCAAAAAAGUGUUUUUGAUUGCAAAAAUAAUUUGAAAAGGAAGUUAGAAGAGAAAACAAAGUUUUAUGAAAAAAUGUGUUAAAGAAAAGAAUUAAUGACUUGAACGAGUUUCUCCAAAAUGAAAAACAAAAGUUUUCUCAAACAAAAGAAAGCAAAUCUUUUCAAGGCACAAAUAAGUUUGCUAUGAUAAGAAGUAAGAAAAUUAGUUGCAUUAAAUCCACCUAUGUGCAAAAUACUUCUAUCAUGUGUAACUUUUGUUGCAAAUUUGGACAUAUGCAAAAUGAUUGCUAUGUAAAGAAAAAUAUGAGAAAAGGCAUGAAAUUCAUGUGGAUUGCUAGAUCAUGUCGUAUUAACUCCCAAGGACCCUAUAAAGAAAGGGUACCAAAUGAAAUUUCUCAUAUUUAGGCACAUCAUGAUGAUUUGAUCCAAAAAGUGCUAUAUGGUUGUAAGUACAAUUGAAAAUUUUGAUAUUCAAUAUGGUCUUGAUUUGAAAAAUAAAGGGGGAGUUUGUUUUUGAUUGAUGCCAAAAGGGGGGGUAGGAUUUAUUGAAAUUUCUUUGUAUGUUGGCACUUUCUAAGGGGGAGCUUUAUUUGAACUUAUUUGAUAAAAGAAAUCUUCAUUUUGUUUGUCAUCAUCAAAAAGGGGGAGAUUGUUGACAUUGGUCGAUCAAUCCUUGGUUUUGAUGAUUAACAAACCAAAAUGUAGAUUUGGGCUAAUGUUUUUAUGUGAGUAAUUUGUUAGAACAGAUUCUUGUGGCAUAAAAGAAGAAGCAAAAACAGGGCACUCAUGUCGGACGCUAUCGGACGUCCGAAAGGAUGAAGAACAUCAAGAAGGAAACUCUGUCGGACGCUCGUGAGGAAGCAUCGGACGUCCGGAAGGAUCGGACGCACGCCUCGGACGCACAUCGAUCGCAUCGGACGUCCGAGAAAUUUCGCAAAGAUUUGAUGACUCUCUGCCUACGUUCGGACGCAGGGUUCGGACGUCCGACAGGUGGUUUGGACGCAGGGUUCGGACGUCCGACAGGAGGUCUCGGACGUCCGACAGGCCAACGGCUAGUUUUGACAGCAUUUAAUAUUUGACCGUUGGAGAGGCUUUUGAAGCCAUUUCUCACCUUCUAUAAACACCCCAAAGCACAAGAAGACAAUGGACUUUUGCCAACACAAAAUACAAGCUUACAAGUGAGAUUUUUGAGUAGAAAGAUUCUUUGUUGGUUGUAUAAGGGGUUGGGAAAGUUGGGUUGUGAGGUUGCUCAAGUGAAAACCUUGGUGAAGGUGAACCUAUCACUUGGAGUGGUAAAACCUUGGUGAAGGUUGCCUCAUUUGUAUAAAAUAGUUCUUAAUUGGGUGAGUGAUCUUUCAAGUGUAGGUUGUUGAGAGUUAACUAGAAUUGUUGUAAAACUCCUUGGCUCAACCAAAGAGUAUUUGGGGUGAGGAAGGAGUGAACCUUCACUUGUACAUCUUGGUUAGCAUCGCCAUCAAUUGAAGAGGCUAUUGGAUUGAUAUUUGGUUUGCAUUUCUUAUCUUUUCUCUUUAAUUAAGUUUUCUUUAUUGUGCUUAAAUUUGAUAUAUCUUUGUGCAUCAUUGUGAAAUUGUUUGUACUCAUUGGGUUGCACCGGGCAUUACAAAUCAUUAAUAUACUUAAGAAUGUUUAGAAGAGAAUUUAAAAAUAGCUUUCAAUCCAAAAGCACAAUUGUCAAACAGAGCUUAUUACAUAGACAAUAUAGAUUAGGAGGAUAAGAUAAGCACGUAACUGAACUAAAAAUUAAUAUCAAAAGAAAAAAACAAUAUAAAAGGUAAUGCAAAAAUGUAGCUGAAGAGUGUACAAUCCAAGCUCAUGAUAGAGCUAACAAGGAAGAAAAAGGUGAAGCUCAACAGAAGGUUAAAUCAAGUGAAGCUAUUUAGAAGAACGAAACCAGUGAUCGGUACAUUGCAUCCGCCAAGAACAAUUGCAUCGAUAAUUUGGACUUUAGUAACAUAAUACUUGAAUUCUGAAUGUGUGAUGCCAGGGGUACAUAAUCUCUAUUCCAUUGGCUCCAAAGAUCAGUAUAUAUAGCAAAUGAUUUUCUUACCUCUUACGGAUCACUUGAUUAAGCAUAUAGGAUCAUGGAAAUCAAUUUAUAUGCAUUAAUUAAUAAGCAGAAAAAUAUUACUCAAAUCUGAAAGUUAGGUGCUUUGGUAGGUAAAUGGAGAAGGUAACAAGGAAAUAUACCAAAUGGUAAUAAAAUGAAUAUCCAGAAGCCAAAUGGUACAAAACCCAUUGGUGCUAUCAAUGCAGAAUAUCUCAGCUGUGUGUUAAUAGAUGCACGGGUUUGAAGCAAAAACAUCAAAAUGCAACUCCAGGCACAGACAAAAAAAAGCCCAUGAAUGCAUAAGUUUUACAUCUGUCCAAGGUUUUCUAAUGUCGACAUAAUCCAAAAGAUUUCCUACUACAUCAAUGCAGCUUCAAGGAAUACCAUGGAUAAAGAAAGAUCAGACAAGUCUUUGUUUUUUUUUUUCUUGGGCACUGCCAGAGUUAUCAGUUUCUGUAGAUUCCCCUUUCUAUCUCUCCAACAUCUCUAAACCUUGCAGUGAGGCGAACUUGUACUCAUUAAGAAGAUCAUUCUCCGUCUGAAUUAAAAAACGUGCCAUGUUAAUAAAUUGGAUAAGUGAAGAUUCAAGGGGGACGGAAAUGAUUAAUGUAAAAAAAAUGACCUGAUUCUCGAGUUUGAGCAUUCCGUUCUUCAGCUUGGACAAGUUAAUUGUUGGCGCUGAUGUGGAAAUCAAGUGACUGAUAUGGCUGGUUAGUUUAGUACUUCAAAGGGACUUGUAAUAUUUUGUUUAUUACUAAAUGCAAGACUUGAGAGAAGGUCCAUCUGUACUGCAUGAACCGGACAAUACUAACUUUGCUGUCGUUGGCGGAACAUUUGUUUAUUAGUUACUGUCGACAUUAACAUGGAAGCUUCUCAAGUUACGAGAAAGAUUCCCCCGAAAGUAAGAUGGGCAUUUGCAGGUUUCUUAAUUUAACUGAUUUACGUCGAUUUCUGAUCGGAGUGGAUCAAUUUUAAAAAGACCCUGCGUCAGGGAUCAGCUGCUCAAAGUAAAACUAGUGAAUACUGAUAAUUACACCCACUACUCGAUUAAGAAAUAUUGGGACCACUCUAUUUCGGGGAAAAUAAAAGGAAAUAAACAAAUAGUGGGACCACAUCAUAUAGUCAUAGAAUUUGGCAGCUGGAUCCGAAAAGAAGACAAGUUAUUAAAUUUGCCACCAUAGCCGGCCGGCGGAGAACGAGAGCGGAAUCCGCGCCAACGAAGGUUUCCAGACGUGACGUGGGAUGCAGAAAAGGAAUUGAGAAAUUCGAUAUCCCACCCCUACCUUUCUUAUUGUUAGAUUUUUACCCCAAAUGAUUUUUCAGCUCUAAAUUUCUCGGUUCUUAAUAAUUCUUUGCCACACAAUGAUGUAUUUCAAGUAAUGCGUGUUCCCUCAGUUUUAAGCACACUGGUUAUAAAGUCAAUUCGAGUCUUUGCUCGCACUUGUAUAUCUUUUGAAAGUAAUAUAAUCAAAUAUCGUUUCGAAAAAAAAAAAAAAAGUAAUGCGUGUUUCAAAUUUGUUCACUUCUUCAAUCCAAAUUCACCUAUCCAAAUCCAAGUGCAACAUUUCAUUCUUCCAAGGAAAAAAUGAUUUUAUUUUACGCCAUCUUUGAGACUGUUUGGUGCAUUCUCUUCUCAAUUGGCAUCUUUGGUACUCAAGAGAGGGGCCUUUUCACCCCCUGAUUCCAAGUUGUUCACUCCAUUGUCAUCAACCAGCUUCCUUUCUUUAGCUUUUCCCCACAUCACAGAGUAAAAUCCGAUUAGAAUGAUAAUAGAGCCCACCAGACUGCAAAUAAAUUGAAAUUCCUUGUCACUGAUUGUUUGCAGAGAAAAUAAUCACGACCCAAAACAAAUAGCAACUAUCCUAUAAGAAUGUAUUCCAAUCAAUUGCUUAUUGAAUCCAAACAACGGUUUUUUUUGUUAGAGCGUAAAUCGAAGGGCUCGAACUUGGACCCUCUUACUUAUAUUCUCUCAUCUCGAACCAUCUAACCCGUCUCUUUCCCUCAAUACCAAACAAAGGUAAUUAAAUAGCACUAAAUCAGGAACAGAAACAACUAGCAACAAACUUCCAAGAAUGUACCCCCCAAAAAAAAAAUGAAUGUACAAUCAAAUAUGAUAUUAGGGUUUGCAGGAAAGCACAGAGAGUAAUGUCAACACCUGCCAAGAUAGAAAGUGUCAUGGAGAAAGAUCACCCCCAUUGCAGUUCCGAGGACAACGCCUAUGGGAUGAAAUGUUGCUGCAAAAAGAGGGCCCUUUUUCCUCACGCACCAGGAACCAAUAGUCAGUUGAAAAAUAUUGCCAAAGAAUCCCUAAAAUUGUGUACAUUUAGUACAUGAAAUGAAGGAUGUUAGACAAUCAAAAAAGUCAAGAAAGGGCUAGAAACUUUAUGAGUCAUCAGAUAUGACUAUCUUCGUUCAAGAAACAAAUUCAUUAGCAAUCAGUGAACCAGGAUAAAUGCUGCAGGAGUCUUUACACGCAUACCCCGUAUAGAACAGCAACCAACCUCGUCUUUGUUUUUAAGCUGAAUGCACUGAGGUCUCUUUCCAGAAUUAGAGAAGAAGCUAGAGAAAAAAUAGCCACAAAGCAGCUAUAAAAGAACAUUAUGAUCAACUCCACCGGAUACUUCUUAAGGACAAAUGCCUGAAAACAUAAAAGGGAAACAAUUAUAAUCUCUUAUUUCUGAACUAUAACUGUCUUCAAAUGAUAGCCUCCUUCAGACCAUUAGUUAACCUGUGCAAUCAUAAGUAGAGAAGCAAUCACACAAUCAAUGCCAAAAAGCAGUCCACCAAGCAGCACAUUUGCUGACUGGGUAAGAGGUUGAAGGGUGAGAUUUGAGUGAGAUGGGAGCAUCAGUAAGGGGGGUCCUUGAUAAAGAGUUGCAACCAGAGCACCCGAGAUUGCUACAACAGUCCCAAUGGAUUUGGC